rnacentral:tRNA from 1 species
GGAGGAGUACGCCUAAUUGGUAAGGCACUGGUUUGGAGUACCAGCGGGUUUCAAAGCCCUUGCAGGUUCGAGUCCUGUCUCCUCCG